ensembl:lncRNA
UGAGACGCUGUCCCUGCCCUCCAGGCUUCUUCCAGGUGCUCCUGGCGGCCGGAGCUGUUGACGGAGAGGCUAGAAGCUGCCUGGCGGGGAGUGGAGACCAGAGGAGCUUCUGAGCAGAGAAAGGAGCUAUUAUCUGCACAACUGGGAGCCCGGCGCUCGGCUCUCUCAUCCAGAAUGAGACUUGCAGGGGUGCCUCUCUGGUGCUCCCUGGCAGCCAGGGUUGGUGCCUCCUUUGAUGAACUGGGAGCUUGUUCCAAACGGAGGGAGAGAGAGUUGAAAAUUGCCGUGGAGCAGCGUGGAGGGAAAGAUGCGGGUACGCACGUGAAAGUCUCGACGGAUGUGAUAAUUAUUUACGGUUUCUGGCAUUGAGUGUUUUUGUUACCCAGUUAAAUAGACUCUAAAUACCACAUUAAAAUCUUGAAAAGUGCCUGGCAGAUUAAUAAAUCAUAUUAACGGCUCUGGCAUCCUGCAC